AUUGAACGCUGGCGGCAUGCCUUACACAUGCAAGUCGAACGGCAGCACGGGAGCAAUCCUGGUGGCGAGUGGCGAACGGGUGAGUAAUAUAUCGGAACGUGCCCAGUCGUGGGGAUAACGUAGCGAAAGCUACGCUAAUACCGCAUACGAUCUAUGGAUGAAAGCGGGGGAUCGCAAGACCUCGCGCGAUUGGAGCGGCCGAUAUCAGAUUAGGUAGUUGGUGAGGUAAAGGCUCACCAAGCCGACGAUCUGUAGCUGGUCUGAGAGGACGACCAGCCACACUGGGACUGAGACACGGCCCAGACUCCUACGGGAGGCAGCAGUGGGGAAUUUUGGACAAUGGGCGCAAGCCUGAUCCAGCAAUGCCGCGUGCAGGAUGAAGGCCUCGGGUUGUAAACUGCGUUGUACGGAACGAAACGGUAGAGGCUCUAAUACAGUUUGUCUAAUGACGGUACCGUAAGAAUAAGACACCGGACUAA
rnacentral:rRNA from 1 species